rnacentral:rRNA from 1 species
UAACGAAUAUUGGGCAAUGGGCGAAAGCCUGACCCAGCAAUGCCGCGUGCAGGACGAAGUCCUUCGGGAUGUAAACUGCUGUCAGGGGUCCGCAAGCGAAGGGGUCCAACAGGCCCUGGAGUUGAGCAGCCCCAGAGGAAGCCUCGACUAACUCUGUGCCAGCAGCCGCGGUAAUACGGAGGAUCCAAGCGUUAUCCGGAUUUAUUGGGUUUAAAGGGUGCGCAGGCGGAUCAAUAAGUCAGGGGUGAAAAAUUUCAGCUUAACUGGAAUCGUGCCUUCGAUACUGUUAGUCGUGAGUAUUGUUGAUGUAGGUGGAAUGUGUCAUGUAGCGGUAAAAUGCUGAGAUGUGACACAGAACACCAAUCGCGAAGGCAGCUUACCAAGGAAUAGCUGACGCUCAUGCACGAAAGCGUGGGGUUCAAACAGGAUUAAAUGCCCGUGUAGGC